GGGAAGGUAGCUCACUGGUAGAGCGCUUGCCUCAUAUACAGGAGGCCCUGGGUUCGAUUUCUCAGCACCA
rnacentral:tRNA from 1 species